GAUCAUGGCUCAGAUUGAACGCUGGCGGCAUGCCUUACACAUGCAAGUCGAACGGCAGGCACGGGGCAACCUGGUGGCGAGUGGCGAACGGGUGAGUAAUGCAUCGGAACGUGCCAUUGAGUGGGGGGUAACGUAGCGAAAGUUACGCUAAUACCGCAUAUUCUGUGAGCAGGAAAGCAGGGGAUCGCAAGACCUUGCGCUCUUUGAGCGGCCGAUGUCAGAUUAGCUAGUUGGUGAGGUAACGGCUUACCAAGGCGACGAUCUGUAGCGGGUCUGAGAGGAUGAUCCGCCACACUGGAACUGAGACACGGUCCAGACUCCUACGGGAGGCAGCAGUGGGGAAUUUUGGACAAUGGGGGCAACCCUGAUCCAGCCAUGCCGCGUGAGUGAAGAAGGCCUUCGGGUUGUAAAGCUCUUUCGGCCGGGAAGAAAUCGCAUGGGUUAAUACCCUGUGUGGAUGACGGUACCGGCAUAAGAAGCACCGGCUAACUACGUG
rnacentral:rRNA from 1 species